UGCAUAUCAAAAGCGGAGGAAAAGAAACUAACAAGGAUUCCCCUAGUAGCGGCGAGCGAAGCGGGAAGAGCUCAAAUUUAUAAUCUGGCACCUUCGGUGUCCGAGUUGUAAUCUCUAGAAGUGUUUUCCGCGUUGGACCGCACACAAGUCUGUUGGAAUACAGCGGCAUAGUGGUGAAACCCCCGUAUAUGGUGCGGACGCCCAGCGCUUUGUGAUACACUUUCAAUGAGUCGAGUUGUUUGGGAAUGCAGCUCAAAUUGGGUGGUAAAUUCCAUCUAAAGCUAAAUAUUGGCGAGAGACCGAUAGCGAACAAGUACCGUGAGGGAAAGAUGAAAAGCACUUUGGAAAGAGAGUUAACAGUACGUGAAAUUGUUGGAAGGGAAACGCUUGAAGUCAGACUUGCUUGCCGGAGCUUGCUUCGGUUUGCAGGCCAGCAUCAGUUUUCCGGGGUGGAUAAUGACGGUUUGAAGGUAGCAGUCUCGGCUGUGUUAUAGCUUUCCGUUGGAUACAUCCUGGGGGACUGAGGAACGCAGCGUGCUUUUUGCGAAAGACUCGUCUUUUCACGCUUAGGAUGCUGGAAGCCCAGGGGU
rnacentral:rRNA from 1 species